rnacentral:lncRNA from 1 species
AUUCCAGUAGAUCCAACGCCCAGGCUAGGGGGUAGAGACACAGCCCUUGUGGUAGGGUAGGGCACGUCUUCGGCCCACCGCUCCUGGGCGCCAGUGGCUUCAAGGGAAGACCUUGGGACCUGGAUAGGGUUCUCCCUCGCACCAGAAGUCAUCGGCCUGUGGGGUCUCCAGGAGCCACACCUCUCGAGGCAGGUCACAGGCCGAGCUGGAGGCCUCCUUGGGCCUGACCGGCUCCAGCACCCGAGACAGACUUUCACCAUGUUGCCCAAGCUGGUCCCACAUUCCUGGGCUCAAGGGAUCCACCUGCCUUGGCCUCUCGAAGUGCUGGUAUUACAGGCAUGAGCCACUAUGCCCAGGCAAUCCUUCAGGAAGAAGACCCUGGCGAAAAUUACCUUGCAUAUCAAGAGUUGGCGGAUGAACACGAAGCAAUCACCUUGGGAAAAGGAGUGAUGAAAGUAGAAAGCACUAAAGAGAUUCUUUAUAGUUCUUGAUGGGUAGCCUGAGUUGCUCUUGCCAUGUUUUUGUUUGUUUUUUUUCACUCCUCACCGUAUCUUUAAAUCCUAUUUUUAAAAAAAGUAAUGAAGAGGUAGCCAAGAUGUUCUUCAACAGAUGAAAGGAUAAAUAAAUGGUGGUACAUCCAGAUAAUGGAAUAUUAAUCAGUUAUAAAAAGGAAUGAGCUACUAAGCCAUGAAAAGACAUGGAGGAAACUUAAUCCAUGUUACUAAAUUAAAGAACCCAAUCUAAAAAGGCUGCAUACUGUGUAAUUCCAAGU